rnacentral:rRNA from 1 species
UACGUAGGUACCGAGCGUUAUCCGGAUUUACUGGGCGUAAAGCGUGUUCAGGCGGCCUGGCAAGUCGGGCAUGAAAUCUCUCGGCUCAACCGAGAGAGGCUGUCCGAUACUGCUGGGCUUGAGGACGGUAGAGGGUGGUGGAAUUCCGCGUGUAGUGGUGAAAUGCGUAGAUAUGCGGAGGAACACCAGUGGCGAAGGCGGCCACCUGGACCGUCC